GUGUCAGCAGCCGCGGUAAAACGUAGGACGCAAACGUUAUCCGGAAUUACUGGGCGUAAAGGGCGCGCAGGCGGUUGGGUAAGUGAGGCAUGAAAGCUUCAGGCUAAACCUGGAGAGGUUGUCUGAGACUGCUCGACUGGAGUGCGAUAGAGGGAUGUGGAAUUCCGCGUGUAGUGGUGAAAUGCGUAGAGAUGCGGAGGAACACCAGUGGCGAAGGCGGCAUCCUGGAUCGCAACUGACGCUGAGGCGCGAAAGCAUGGGUAGCGAACGGGAUUAGAUACCCGCGUAGUCC
rnacentral:rRNA from 1 species